AUUGAACGCUGGCGGCAGGCCUAACACAUGCAAGUCGAGCGGAUGAGGGGAGCUUGCUCCAGGAUUCAGCGGCGGACGGGUGAGUAAUGCCUAGGAAUCUGCCUGGUAGUGGGGGACAACGUUUGGAAAGGAACGCUAAUACCGCAUACGUCCUGCGGGAGAAAGUGGGGGAUCUUCGGACCUCACGCUAUCAGAUGAGCCUAGGUCGGAUUAGCUAGUUGGUGGGGUAAAGGCUUACCAAGGCGACGAUCCGUAACUGGUCUGAGAGGAUGAUCAGUCACACUGGAACUGAGACACGGUCCAGACUCCUACGGGAGGCAGCAGUGGGGAAUAUUGGACAAUGGGCGAAAGCCUGAUCCAGCCAUGCCGCGUGUGUGAAGAAGGUCUUCGGAUUGUAAAGCACUUUAAGUUGGGAGGAAGGGCAGUAAGUUAAUACCUUGCUGUUUUGACGUUACCAACAGAAUAAGCACCGGCUAACUUCGUG
rnacentral:rRNA from 1 species